rnacentral:pre_miRNA from 1 species
UUAACAAAAAUUUGUAUGGAGCUGGAACGUUUGCCUACGUUUGCCGCUAGGGGCGCUGUUCCAACUGCAUACUAAUUUGAGUUA